GAUGAACGCUGGCGGCGUGCCUAAUACAUGCAAGUCGAGCGAACAGACGAGGAGCUUGCUCCUCUGACGUUAGCGGCGGACGGGUGAGUAACACGUGGAUAACCUACCUAUAAGACUGGGAUAACUUCGGGAAACCGGAGCUAAUACCGGAUAAUAUAUUGAACCGCAUGGUUCAAUAGUGAAAGACGGUUUUGCUGUCACUUAUAGAUGGAUCCGCGCCGCAUUAGCUAGUUGGUAAGGUAACGGCUUACCAAGGCAACGAUGCGUAGCCGACCUGAGAGGGUGAUCGGCCACACUGGAACUGAGACACGGUCCAGACUCCUACGGGAGGCAGCAGUAGGGAAUCUUCCGCAAUGGGCGAAAGCCUGACGGAGCAACGCCGUGUGAGUGAUGAAGGUCUUCGGAUCGUAAAACUCUGUUAUUAGGGAAGAACAAAUGUGUAAGUAACUACGCACGUCUUGACGGUACCUAAUCAGAAAGCCACGGCUAACUACGUG
rnacentral:rRNA from 1 species